AAUGGGCCCAGGCAAGAAGGAGACUUGGAUGGAAUCUGCAGUGAGAAGCACCUGGUACUGAUACAGAGUGUGCACAAUCAAGAUGUUUUACAGGCUUCCUGGUAUGCAUAUCGACUGCUAAUUAGAGAACCAAUAAUUGAAAUAUCUUCGCUUAAGAGGAUUCCAUAAGUUCCAGAAGCCUCUGGAUAGAAGAAAAAAAACAGCUUGUUUUCUGAAUGAUUAUUCUUUCAUUUUCUUAAGAUCACUUGCCAAAAACCUGUUCUUGUCUGCUGUCACCUGUGGCUUUGGUGGAUUGGGCAGUGGUGCAGCUGAUACAGUCAUUCCUUUCAAGGUGUGUCAUAGUCCCGAUUUCACAAGGCUUUGUCAGUGCUGCUGUUUCCUCUUCUGGAUUCCUUUCCUUCUCUGUCUGAAACAGACAAAGCCCUCUGGUCAAAGAACAGUUUGUGCCUUACGCCAUUGAAUUAGUAUAAGGAAAGCAAAUGGUGUAUACAUUUUGCCAUUGGUAGUUUUGUGUUAUGAUGGUAUAUAACAAUGCAAUGUAUAUAUUUGUGAUUUUAUUUUUUGUGUGUUUUAAAAAUCUCUGUAGGCAUUAGGUGGCCUAGUUAUUUGUUUUAAUGAUUUUGGAUUUUAAAAAAAUACUUUCAGAACUUCUUAACUUAAUAUUUCUGUGAUCUAAAAGCUCAUCGCAAACCCAAAACAGUAAAUGAAACAUGCAUUUUCAAUGUUUUUUGACUGCAUUGGAAAAUAUGCAACAAUCAAAAUAAACUCGAUCUAUGAUCUGUGGGAUCUAUGGGAUGUGGAAACAUUAUAUAUUUAAUGAUUUUCUGUAACUUUCAGAAUAGGAGGAAUCAUAUUUGUUGGCCUAUAAAUCUGCUAGCCAUGAAAUAAACCAGGGCAUACUUAUCACCAGAGAUGAGUUCAUUUAGAUGCACUGCAGGUAAAACAAUUAUAUACAGAGACUAGAAACAGUGAUGGAUUCACUUUCGUUGGAUCAGAAUAUUUUUUACCUUGAUCCUGUAGUACCCCUGCAUGUGCUGGCUUUAGCUCUGUUACUUAAUUUAACAGUUGAUUCACAUGUUUAUUCCAUAUAAGUACAAGGACUAAUAAUGACCUUCAUCACACAUUUUUGUUUUGUUUUUCGAAACUUUUACGGAUGACAGGUUAUCAGUAUUUUUUAGCUCAAAGCCAGUCCUUGCUAGUAUUUGAAAACUGCUAAAAAGGCUUAAUUAAGCCUUAUUAUUAGUUAAGCUGAUGUUUCACUUCACUAAUUGGGUGCUCACCUGGAUCAACAUCCUGCUGACAGCAGAGAAUUUGAAAAAGUAAGGAAAAAAUACCUUAGGGCAGUAAAGCACAUCUAAAAUACUUAAAAGAACGGUUGGAUUAAUUGUUCUGUAUUUAAUUGCACUUAUUUGGCCUGAUGCAGUGGUUUGAAGAAUGCUAAAGUAAGUUGUUAGUUUUAGUAUUUACAUUUUAAUACUCACACACAGAGUUAAUACUAAACCCAACCUCUGAACUAUAAACAUUACAUCAUGUGUAGUGUUCAUCGUUUUCUGUAAUGUGACAUCCCUUUAAAAUAUAUUAAAAAGUGCUAAUUACCUAAAACAUCUUAUCACUCGACAUCACAGUUGCUGAGUGUUUGCCUUAUCGAUUCCCGAAGCAGAGUUUACUGAGGAUGCUAAUCUCUGAUCCCAGAGCUGUUUUAAUUGUAUUUCAGCCCUGCUGUAUACCAACUGAUAUACUGUACGUACACAUGGUUGUAUAUUUUUCAGUAGAUGUUGAAUGAGACUUCCGACAGUAAAGUGUCAGCAAUGGAAACUAUGGCAUUUUAAAUAAACUGUUUUAUCAUGAUAAAAACAGUGAUCUUUGUAUUUUAAAGGGUGGUGUGUUAUUGUAAAAUUAAAACAAAGAAAAUGCAGAACUCUAUUCAUGUAACACUUUUUGCUGCCUAGGGUGUGUUUCCAGUGGAUAACCUUUCUUAAAAUCCCCCUUAUCAUAAUGGUGUGAUUUGCUGGUGGUGGAUUGUCAGUACAGUCAAAACGAUACAGUAUCUAUAUUGUUGGAGGAGCAAACUUUGUUAAAAUAAAAAUGACUUUUGUGUAACUAAAGAAGUUCUAAGGCAAUAUUAAUUAAUGACAGACUUAAUCUCCUGUGCUGUUCCUAGUGCCUAUUUCUCACAACACAAUAUAUUUGUGUUUACCAGGUACCUAUUUUUAAUUUAUUUUAAUUACUGUGAAAUAUAAGAAAAAAAGGUACAUUUAUGUUUUUGAAUGUUUGUAAUGGUUUUGAAUGAUGGUAUGUCCAGAUGUUUUCCAACAGAAGAGAUAUUUUUAAAAUUACACUUCCAAAAACAUAAGUGGAAAAAAAUACAAAAGCUGGAAGGAGGGAAAAAGUAUUCAUCUUUCAGUGCAAUUAUUGUAUUAAUAGCUGUUGUUUAAUCAUAUUUCAAAUUGUGCUGUACAUUUGCUAUUCCAAUGUAUAUGAGCAAGUGUAUACUUGUGAACUAGAUGGGAAAUGGUUGUUUUUUUGUUUUUGUAUCCCGUUUUAUUCUCCGAGAGCCUUUGUGCAGAAUUUAUCACCUCAUAUCAGGAAGAUAAUUUAGGUGGGCUGGAUUCUAAUUUUAGAAUUUUGGGGAUAUUGUAAGCCCCUUAAAUCAUCAAUGGAGGAAAGAGACAAGUAGGUGUCUAGACUGGGCAGUACCUUAAGACCAGUGCAGAUUUUUAUCCUCAACUUUGAAGGUAUUAUGAUCACCCACAGGCAAAGAUAUCAAACAUCACUACCUGGGAAUGGUUUUUCCUGCUUGUUUUUCUCCCCCGUUAUGAUUUUGCAAACUUUUACAUUUUGUAUUGCACUUGUCUAUAUGAUUCAUGCACAUUUGAAUAUACCUCUCUGAUGUGUAAAGUACUACUGUGCAUUUUAUUGAGAAGCAACACAAACUGACAUUCUAAAGAUCUCUUAGGCUCUCAAAAGUGGUCCAUAUAGGCCAAGUGUGAGAAUGAAUUUCAGAGUGCUUAGAUUCUGACUGGUCAAAAUACAGUCCUUCAGACAGGCCUUUACAGAUCUUGAUAAAUCUCUCAUGUCUCCAGAUGCACAAUUGUGUGAUGUAGGGUAUGAAAAAAAAGGCAUGGAAAAAAAUGUGACAUUAUUAAUAGUACCUAUUAAUUUAGGCCGGCAUAAGACUUUUCUGAAAGCUAGGACACAAUAAAAGCCACCUAGCCUGUUCCGUAUCACUACAACACACAAUACUUUUGCCACAUUUGUCCUGCAAUACUUUCAACAAUGAUCUGUAGACUUUUGGAACUGACUGUUAAAAAAUGUUUUCUGAGCCAUCAGUACAAAAUGAUGGAUAAUUAAUGUGUAUCUCUCCAUAUUUUUGUAAAUACUUUGUGUGCUUGCUGGUCACAAAAAUGUUUUUCUUGUCUGAUGUGGAGCGACAUUGGGAAAAAAAAACAUGAUUUUAUUUAAAAAUGAAUAAAGACAUGAUAUUGUACCUCAUCAUUAUUAAGAAGCCUUUUAAAAAUAAUUGACACCUUUUCAGAUGUUUUUUUUUAAUUAUGUCCCUUCAGAUGCCAAGAUGAUCAGAUUUUCCUGUUGUUUGUAUUAAAUUAAGCGUUAGAUCCC